rnacentral:rRNA from 1 species
UACGUAGGGUGCGAGCGUUGUCCGGAAUUAUUGGGCGUAAAGAGCUCGUAGGCGGUCUGUCGCGUCGGAUGUGAAAACUCGGGGCUCAACCCCGAGCCUGCAUUCGAUACGGGCAGACUAGAGUUCGGUAGGGGAGACUGGAAUUCCUGGUGUAGCGGUGAAAUGCGCAGAUAUCAGGAGGAACACCGGUGGCGAAGGCGGGUCUCUGGGCAACAACUGACGCUGAGGAGCGAAAGCGUGGGGAGCGAACAGG